AGAGUUUGAUCAUGGCUCAGAUUGAACGCUGGCGGCAGGCUUAACACAUGCAAGUCGAGCGGAGAUGAGGUGCUUGCACCUUAUCUUAGCGGCGGACGGGUGAGUAAUGCUUAGGAAUCUGCCUAUUAGUGGGGGACAACAUUCCGAAAGGAAUGCUAAUACCGCAUACGCCCUACGGGGGAAAGCAGGGGAUCUUCGGACCUUGCGCUAAUAGAUGAGCCUAAGUCGGAUUAGCUAGUUGGUGGGGUAAAGGCCUACCAAGGCGACGAUCUGUAGCGGGUCUGAGAGGAUGAUCCGCCACACUGGGACUGAGACACGGCCCAGACUCCUACGGGAGGCAGCAGUGGGGAAUAUUGGACAAUGGGCGGAAGCCUGAUCCAGCCAUGCCGCGUGUGUGAAGAAGGCCUUUUGGUUGUAAAGCACUUUAAGCGAGGAGGAGGCUACUUAGAUUAAUACUCUAGGAUAGUGGACGUUACUCGCAGAAUAAGCACCGGCUAACUCUGUGCCAGCAGCCGCGGUAAUACAGAGGGUGCGAGCGUUAAUCGGAUUUACUGGGCGUAAAGCGUGCGUAGGCGGCUGAUUAAGUCGGAUGUGAAAUCCCUGAGCUUAACUUAGGAAUUGCAUUCGAUACUGGUCAGCUAGAGUAUGGGAGAGGGAUGGUAGAAAUUCCAGGGUGUAGCGGGUGAAAUGCGUAGAGAUCUGGAGGAAUACCGAUGGCGAAGGCAGCCAUCUGGCCUAAUACUGACGCUGAGGUACGAAAGCAUGGGGAGCAAACAGGAUUAGAUACCCUGGUAGUCCAUGCCGUAAACGAUGUCUACUAGCCGUUGGGGCCUUUGAGGCUUUAGUGGCGCAGCUAAACGCGAUAAGUAGACCGCCUGGGGAGUACGGUCGCAAGACUAAAACUCAAAUGAAUUGACGGGGGCCCGCACAAGCGGUGGAGCAUGUGGUUUAAUUCGAUGCAACGCGAAGAACCUUACCUGGCCUUGACAUAGUAAGAACUUUCCAGAGAUGGAUUGGUGCCUUCGGGAACUUACAUACAGGUGCUGCAUGGCUGUCGUCAGCUCGUGUCGUGAGAUGUUGGGUUAAGUCCCGCAACGAGCGCAACCCUUUUCCUUAUUUGCCAGCGAGUAAUGUCGGGAACUUUAAGGAUACUGCCAGUGACAAACUGGAGGAAGGCGGGGACGACGUCAAGUCAUCAUGGCCCUUACGGCCAGGGCUACACACGUGCUACAAUGGUCGGUACAAAGGGUUGCUACCUAGCGAUAGGAUGCUAAUCUCAAAAAGCCGAUCGUAGUCCGGAUUGGAGUCUGCAACUCGACUCCAUGAAGUCGGAAUCGCUAGUAAUCGCGGAUCAGAAUGCCGCGGUGAAUACGUUCCCGGGCCUUGUACACACCGCCCGUCACACCAUGGGAGUUUGUUGCACCAGAAGUAGGUAGUCUAACCGCAAGGAGGACGCUUACCACGGUGUGGCCGAUGACUGGGGUGAAGUCGUAACAAGGUAACCGUA
rnacentral:rRNA from 1 species